GUUCUAAUAAUUUAAGUAAAAUAUUGGUCUUGUAAACCAAAAAUAAGUUAAUCUUUUAGAACU
rnacentral:tRNA from 1 species